AGUGAACGCUGGCGGUAGGCCUAACACAUGCAAGUCGAACGGCAGCACAGUAAGAGCUUGCUCUUACGGGUGGCGAGUGGCGGACGGGUGAGGAAUACAUCGGAAUCUACUUUUUCGUGGGGGAUAACGUAGGGAAACUUACGCUAAUACCGCAUACGACCUACGGGUGAAAGCAGGGGAUCUUCGGACCUUGCGCGAUUGAAUGAGCCGAUGUCGGAUUAGCUAGUUGGCGGGGUAAAGGCCCACCAAGGCGACGAUCCGUAGCUGGUCUGAGAGGAUGAUCAGCCACACUAGAACUGAGACACGGUCCAGACUCCUACGGGAGGCAGCAGUGGGGAAUAUUGGACAAUGGGCGCAAGCCUGAUCCAGCCAUACCGCGUGGGUGAAGAAGGCCUUCGGGUUGUAAAGCCCUUUUGUUGGGAAAGAAAAGCAGCAGGUUAAUACCCCGCUGUUCUGACGGUACCCAAAGAAUGAGCACCGGCUAACUUCGUG
rnacentral:rRNA from 1 species